CGUUUGGGGGACGCAGUCCCGUGAAAGAUGGCCCUUCCCUCCCGCUGCCGCCGCCGGAGGAGGCACCCUUAAAAGGGCUUGUUUGGGAAUCUUCUCGCUGUCUCUAGAAUCUGUUCUCUGGACUCUAAGGUCUAGAGUCCUCCUCUACCACUUAACUUUUUUCUCUUUCCAGGGCCAAGGGCCCCAUCUCCCACUAAGCCUCUGCGGAGGUCCCAGCGGAAAUCAGGCUCUGAACUCCCAAGCAUCCUCCCUGAAAUCUGGCCGAAGGUGAGCCCCAGAUUUCUCACUUCCUCCCCUUGUGGCCCCUCACCUAAUUUGAGCUCACGUUCAUCCCUCUUCUCCAGACACCCAGUGCGGCUGCAAUCAGAAAGCCCAUCGUCUUAAAGAGGAUCGUGGCCCAUGCUGUAGAGGUAAAGGCUAAGGAGAGUGUUGUGGGUGGGUAGGUGGGCAAAACUGGGGACCAGCUAUGUGAUCAAUUGGUAUUGUCCCCCGCAGGUCCCAGCUGUCCAAUCACCUCGCAGGAGCCCUAGGGUGAGUUCACUUUCAUCUACUUAAUUAAGUAGAAUCUGGGUCACUCUAGAGCUGGACAGCACACAUUGGCUGCUCACAUCUGCCCAGGGAGCUGUUUUGCAGUACUGCAAAAAC
rnacentral:sRNA from 1 species